AUUGAACGCUGGCGGCAGGCCUAACACAUGCAAGUCGAACGAGUGGCGGACGGGUGAGUAAUGUCUGGGAAACUGCCCGCUGGAGGGGGAUAACUACUGGAAACGGUAGCUAAUACCGCAUACCAUCGGAUGUGCCCAGAUUGGCUUAGCUCGUAGGUGGGGUAACGGCUCACCUAGUCGACGAUCCCUAGCUGGUCUGAGAGGAUGACCCGCCACACGGGAACUGAGACACGGUCCAGACUCCUACGGGAGGCAGCAGUGGGGAAUAUUGCACAAUGGGCGCAAGCCUGAUGCAGCCAGGCCGCGUGUAUGAAGAAGGCCUUCGGGUUGUAAAGUACUUUCAGCGAGGAGGCGUUACUCGCAGAAGAAGCACCGGCUAACUCCGUGCCAGCAGCCGCGGUAAUAC
rnacentral:rRNA from 1 species